CAGCAGCCGCGGGAAUACGAAGGGGGCUAGCGUUGCUCGGAAUCACUGGGCGUAAAGGGUGCGUAGGCGGGUCUCUAAGUCAGAGGUGAAAUCCUGGAGCUCAACUCCAGAACUGCCUUUGAUACUGAGGAUCUUGAGUUCGGGAGAGGUGAGUGGAACUGCGAGUGUAGAGGUGAAAUUCGUAGAUAUUCGCAAGAACACCAGUGGCGAAGGCGGCUCACUGGCCCGAUACUGACGCUGAGGCACGAAAGCGUGGGGAGCAAACAGGAUUAGAUACCCCGGUAGUCCCUGUCUCUUAUAC
rnacentral:rRNA from 1 species